rnacentral:rRNA from 1 species
GAUGAACGCUGGCGGCGUGCCUAAUACAUGCAAGUCGAGCGAACAGACGAGGAGCUUGCUCCUCUGACGUUAGCGGCGGACGGGUGAGUAACACGUGGAUAACCUACCUAUAAGACUGGGAUAACUUCGGGAAACCGGAGCUAAUACCGGAUAAUAUAUUGAACCGCAUGGUUCAAUAGUGAAAGACGGUUUUGCUGUCACUUAUAGAUGGAUCCGCGCCGCAUUAGCUAGUUGGUAAGGUAACGGCUUACCAAGGCAACGAUGAGUAGCCGACCUGAGAGGGUGAUCGGCCACACUGGAACUGAGACACGGUCCAGACUCCCACGGGAGGCAGCAGUAGGGAAUCUUCCGCAAUGGGCGAAAGCCUGACGGAGCAACGCCGCGUGAGUGAUGAAGGUCUUCGGAUCGUAAAACUCUGUUAUUAGGGAAGAACAAAUGUGUAAGUAACUAUGCACGUCUUGACGGUACCUAAUCAGAAAGCCACGGCUAACUACGUG